rnacentral:rRNA from 1 species
GAUGAACGCUGGCGGCGUGCCUAAUACAUGCAAGUCGAGCGAACAGACGAGGAGCUUGCUCCUCUGACGUUAGCGGCGGACGGGUGAGUAACACGUGGAUAACCUACCUAUAAGACUGGGAUAACUUCGGGAUACCGGAGCUAAUACCGGAUAAUAUAUUGAACCGCAUGGUUCAAUAGUGAAAGACGGUUUUGCUGUCACUUAUAGAUGGAUCCGCGCCGCAUUAGCUAGUUGGUAAGGUAACGGCUUACCAAGGCAACGAUGCGUAGCCGACCUGAGAGGGUGAUCGGCCACACUGGAACUGAGACACGGUCCAGACUCCUACGGGAGGCAGCAGUAGGGAAUCUUCCGCAAUGGGCGAAAGCUUGACGGAGCAACGCCGCGUGAGUGAUGAAGGUCUUCGGAUCGUAAAACUCUGUUAUUAGGGAAGAACAAAUGUGUAAGUAACUAUGCACGUCUUGACGGUACCUAAUCAGAAAGCCACGGCUAACUACGUG